GUGCUCACUUUGGCAGCAUAUAUACUAAAAUUGGAAUGAUACAAAGAAGAUUCGCAUGGUCCCUGGACAAGGAUGACCCGCAAAUUCACUUCGUAGGGAACCUGCCCCAUUGAU
rnacentral:snRNA from 1 species